GACGAACGCUGGCGGCGUGCCUAAUACAUGCAAGUCGAGCGGACAGAAGGGAGCUUGCUCCCGGAAGUUAGCGGCGGACGGGUGAGUAACACGUGGGCAACCUACCCUGUAGAUCAGGAUAACAUCGAGAAAUCGGUGCUAGUACCGGAUAAUCAUUUGAAGUGCAUGCUUCGAAUGUAAAAGAUGGCUCCGGCUAUCACUACGGGAUGGGCCCGCGGCGCAUUAGCUAGUUGGUAAGGUAAUGGCUUACCAAGGCAACGAUGCGUAGCCGACCUGAGAGGGUGAUCGGCCACACUGGGACUGAGACACGGCCCAGACUCCUACGGGAGGCAGCAGUAGGGAAUCUUCCGCAAUGGACGAAAGUCUGACGGAGCAACGCCGCGUGAGUGAUGAAGGUUUUCGGAUCGUAAAGCUCUGUUGUUAGGGAAGAACAAGUGCCGUUUGAAUAAGGCGGCACCUUGACGGUACCUAACCAGAAAGCCACGGCUAACUACGUGCCAGCCGCCGCGGUAAUAC
rnacentral:rRNA from 1 species